rnacentral:rRNA from 1 species
UGAGGAAUAUUGCACAAUGGGCGCAAGCCUGAUGCAGCGACGCCGCGUGGGUGAAGAAGGAUUUCGGUCUGUAAAGCCCUUUUCUGUGUGACGAGAAUGGACGGUAGCACAGGAAUAAGUCUCGGCUAACUACGUGCCAGCAGCCGCGGUAAAACGUAGGAGGCAAGCGUUAUCCGGAGUAACUGGGCGUAAAGGGAGAGUAGGUGGUUGCGUAAGUUGGUUAUGAAAGCUCCUGGCUAAACUGGGAGAGGUUGACCAAGACUGCGCGACUUGAGUGGAGAAGAGGUAAACGGAAUUCCGCGUGUAGUGGUGAAAUGCGUAGAGAUGCGGAAGAACACCAGUGGCGAAGGCGGUUUACUGGUCUCCAACUGACACUGAACCGCGAAAGCAUGGGUAGCGAA